UCUGUCGAGCAGUCGGGAAUGUCCGGUACGAGCCACCUGAAGGCAUUAAAGAGCCUCUGCUGCUGAGACCGUCGUCUUCCACACUGAAUCAGAAUUUCUAGGGGUGGGCCCUCGUGCACCUGGGUAUUUCUAAAAGCUCCUCUUUUACCCAAGGUCCAUCGCGGUCCAGAAGCAGAUGGUCCUCCUUCUGACAUAUCCUAAGAAGAUCAAUAGUAGCCUAAGGCUAUAUCACAAAGCGAGUAUCAUUCACCUCAUUUCAUCUCAUCAUAUAGGCAUCUUAUCAUCUCACAUCAUCACAAGUGAUGAUGGAAGCCUGCUAUGGUCUGUUUAGACUCUUCAUCCUCUGCACUGUGGCAUAAAAGAUGCCUUUUUUUCAGGGAUCACAGGAAUGUCAUCCUAAUCUGUCAGUCUGGAAUAUUCUGGUCAGCAGGAAUGAAGCAAUGCUUCUAACAGGUUCUGUUGUCCCCCAAAUGAAGGUUAUCUUGCUAGAAGGUUUUUGGGUUUUUUUUCACUUAUGACUUCCUUGUCCCACAUCCUCUCUGCCUUUCAAAACCUUUCCUUCUGUAGCCCUCUGAAGCUCCAUUCUGUUGCUGGUUGGGAUGGUGCCCAAUUCAUGAAUCAUUCAGUAAAACCAACUCUUUUUUAAAAUUCCUCCACUACAUUUUUUUUUUUUACAAUUUCAUUUGUAUUUUGUGAGUGAACUGUCUAUAAUUGUAUGUGAAUGCUUUCCUCUUGAGGUAUAGACUUUGGAUUUUGAGACAUCAUUAGAAAUACAUCUCUGUUCCCAGAUUAGAAAUGAGUUCAUCAUGUUUUUGGUUUCUUCUUCCUCCUCUCCCCGCCCUUCUCAUCCCUUCCGUCCUCAGGGUUCUCCCUUUCUGCUACUUCUGUUUCUUCUGCCUCUUUAAUACAUAACUCUCUGAUCUAUUUGGAGUUUAACCUGAUAUGUGGUAGAAGUUAUGGAUUUAAAUUUAACAUUUUUCCAACAAAAUUAUCCAGUAACAUUUGUUUAAAACAAAUGUCUUGGGGUGCUUGGGUGGCU